CCUACGGGAGGCAGCAGUGGGGAAUAUUGCGCAAUGGGCGAAAGCCUGACGCAGCGACGCCGCGUGAGGGAUGAAGGUCUUCGGAUCGUAAACCUCUGUUAGCAGGGAAGAAAGGUCACUGUGCUAAUCAGCAGUGAAUAGACGGUACCUGCAAAGGAAGCACCGGCUAACUCCGUGCCAGCAGCCGCGGUAAUACGGAGGGUGCGAGCGUUAAUCGGAAUUCCUGGGCGUAAAGCGCUCGUAGGCGGUAUGUCAAGUCAAGGGUGAAAUCCCCGCGCUCAACGUGGGAACUGCCGUUGAAACUGGCAAACUGGAGUGUGGGAGAGGUAAGUGGAAUUCGUGGUGUAGGAGUGAAAUCCGUAGAUAUCAGGAGGAACAUCAGUGGCGAAGGCGGCAAUCUGGCACAUAACUGACGCUGAGGAGCGAAAGCGUGGGUAGCAAACAGGAUUAGAUACCCGUGUAGUC
rnacentral:rRNA from 1 species